UACGUAGGGUGCAAGCGUUGUCCGGAAUUAUUGGGCGUAAAGAGCCUCGUGAGCGGUCUGUCGCGUCGGCUGUGAAAAACCCCGGGGGCUCAACCCCCGGGCUUGCGGUCGAUACGGGCAGGCUGGAGUUCGGUAGGGGAGACUGGAAUUCCUGGUGUAGCGGUGAAAUGCGUAGAUAUUGGGAGGAACACCAGUGGCGAAGGCGGCUACCUGGACCGGAACUGACGCUGAUGCGCGAAAGCGUGGGUAGCAAACAGG
rnacentral:rRNA from 1 species